rnacentral:tRNA from 1 species
ACCUGGGUGGCUCAGUCGGUUGAGUACCUGACUCUUGGUUUUGGCUCAGGUCAUGAUCUCAGAAUUCAUAGGUUCGAGUCCUGUGUCAGGCU